rnacentral:rRNA from 1 species
AGCUGCCAGUAGUCAUAUGCUUGUCUCAAAGAUUAAGCCAUGCACGUCUAAGAUCGCUAGGGGUGGGCAACCACUUACGAGUAAUCUGCGAAAGGCUCAUUAUAACAGUUACAAACUUGGCUACUAGUUUCCCCACAAGGAUAACACAGCCAAAUGCAGCGAUAAUACUUGAACAAACGUUGGUGAAUUGUAUAGCCAACAAACAGUAGCAACAAAGGAAUGUCUGCUACAUAUCCCCGCAAGGGGUGUUGACCAUAGUAAUGUGGCCUAGAAGAGGUAUUUCUUCCUUAUCAGUUAGUUGUUUCAGUAAGGGUGAAACAAGACUAUUACGGGUACGGGGAAUCAGUGUUCGAUUCCGGAGAGGGAGCCUGAGAAAUGGCUACUACAUCUAAGGAUGGCAGCAGGCGCGAAAAUUACCCAAUCCUAACAUUUUUGGGAGGUAGUGACAAGAAAUAACGACCUUACACGUGACAUAAAUUGGAGGACAAGUCUGGUGCCAGCACCCGCGGUAAUUCCAGCUCCAAAAGCAUAUACUAAAAUUGCUGUAGUUAAAACGCUCGUAGUUUAUAAGUAGGACUCUCACGUGGCAAUCUGGAUACGGCAGCUGAGUCGUGCUAAAUCUCUCGGAGCUUUAGUGUAGCUUAGUUGUAUUUUCGUACACGCUGUAUCCCUACCCUUAGCCUGUACCUUUUAUGGUCUGGCUCGAGGGAGAUUAACUCGUGAGUGUUCCGACUAUUGAAACCGUGAACAAAUUAAUGUGUUUAAAGCAAGCUUAUGCUUGGCAACAAGUAUCGCUUGAAUAAUUUAGCAUGGAACCCCUUUUUCCCCCGACUGGUAACCCCAGUUGGGGGAUGAGAAAAUAAAAGGUCGGCGGAGGACUCUGGUAUUGUGUGCUUAGAGGUGAAAUUCCGAAAUUUACGCAAGACGAUCGGAGGCGUAGGCUGUCAUUGCCCAUCACACCUUUAUUGAUCAGGAACGAAAGUCAGGGGAUCGAAGAUGAUUAGAUACCGUCGUAGUCCUGACUGUAAACUAUACUAACAGGAGUUUGAGUAUGAACCUAAUUUUGAUCUUCCCAGGAUCCAAGGGAAACCUAAAGUUUUUGGGUUCUGGGGGGAGUAUAGUCGCAAGGCCGAAACUUAAAGGAAUUGACGGAAAGGCACCACCAGGAGUGGAGUUUGCGGCUUAAUUCGAC